GGCGAGAUAGCCGACGGUCCAAGGCCCUGGUUUUAGGCACCAGUCCCUUCGGAGGCAUGGGUUCGAAUCCCACUCUCGUCA
rnacentral:tRNA from 1 species